GAUUCUUUCUACUGCAGGAAAGCGGGAAAGGUCGGCCCCUAGUGCCAGAGUGUUGGAGCUCUUUGGCGUGGUCAGAGCGCGGGCUGGCUUGUCUCACCGUACUAUGAGUACUAUAGUUACUAUGUGCCUGACUUAGUUUCGUGAAGAUUAUUUCACGUCUCUAAAAAUAUGUCAUGCAUCACAUUAAACGGUACGAUAGCAUUUGUUCGACCCUUUCCUGCGGUAUUACGGUGUACACAACAUCGAUUAGGGCACAGGAACAUUGUCAAGAGAGAUGGACUGAGUGUCCCACAGUUCUGUCAGACUUGAUGUACACAGAGCAAUCAGAGAAGACCAGCUGAUGGUAAUUAAUGGGCGUGGGGUGGGAGGUGUUUAUCCGACUGUAGAUGUGGUGGGCAAGUCACCCCUGUGUAGCUAUAAUGACAGUAAUGUAGAGGUCCUCCUAAGUGACUCCACCAUAUGGCUAUUUAACCCUUUCCUUAUGUGUAAAGUGACAUAAGGAUGAGUGAUAAUACUACUUAGAGAAUUAUGAGGAUUAAAUGGGUUAGCAUACAAAGCGCAUAAAAAAUCAGGUGAGCAAAUAUAAGCCAUUAUUUACCAGUUACUAUCUCCUAAAUAUGUCUUUCUUGUAGCCAUUUAACCCAAUAACAGGAAUCGAGGUUCAGAGAUAUUGGACAAUUUUCACUCCUUUUCGUGUCCAAUAUUUCUGAAAUGCUAUCCAAAUACUAUAGUACCAGAAAUAAUUUGUAGAAAUAUUUCUGCACUUCUCACAGUGAUUUAUUAUCAAGUCUCUUCGGCUGUACCCACUGGCUUAGUGAAACAGAAAAAAAAAACCCACAUUGUUUCACUUAUGAAGUAAUAAUGAUGUACUUUUCACGUGUAUAUGGGUUUAUUUUUUGUAGGCAGUCUGUUGGUGUCCCUUGCCAUGUUUUUUUCUAAUGGAACAUGCAUUUUGUAAAAUUUUCAAGGAAGGAAUAAUAUGAUCAAGUUAAUGCUUAAGAAAUAAAAAUCCUACC
ensembl:processed_transcript 6030442K20Rik RIKEN cDNA 6030442K20 gene